rnacentral:rRNA from 1 species
UACGUAGGGGGCAAGCGUUGUCCGGAAUCAUUGGGCGUAAAGCGCGCGUAGGCGGCCCGGUAAGUCCGUUGUGAAAGUCAAAGGCUCAACCUUUGAACGCCGAUGGAUACUGCCGGGCUAGAGUCCGGAAGAGGCGAGUGGAAUUCCUGGUGUAGCGGUGGAAUGCGCAGAUAUCGGGAGGAACACCAAUGGCGAAGGCAGCUCGCUGGGACGUUACUGACGCUGAGACGCGAAAGCGUGGGGAGCAAACAGG